ACAGGAGCUGCCAGUUGCCUGUUACUGAUAAGGCUUUAAGUUGCACUUGAUUGCAGCUUUUGAACUUUCUAUACAGGUCUGGCUGAGCAGAAUUCACUUGGGGGACUAAACGUCUGAAGAAAAAUCCUGCAUGACAAGACAGCAGACUUACAGCCUGUUGUGAUCCCCAGCUUAAUUAUGUGCUUAAUGCAGCUCCUACACUUUAUGCUAUAAAAUGCAAGAAAAAAAUGUGAUGGCAGACUAAACAGAUGUUGAAAAGCAAUAACUGGAGUGGAAAACAACUUGUCUGGGAGUAAAAUCAGGCUCAAUCAGGUACUGGAUUUAAAGAGCAAUAGUUUGGGCUACAGUGAU